ensembl:scaRNA
AUGGUCCGGGGAAAGGCUCCCGUGUUGCUGAACCUGCCCGGUUGUGGGUACAGCCUUGUACCAGGCAGUCCGAUCCCGACCUCAGUAAAUUACCAGCAACAGUUUUUUUCUGGGGUUUGAAUUUGCAAUAAUGGGCGUGAACAUUCUAGCCGCAGUUUGAUGAUCACGUAUGAUACUGCAAAUAGGA